rnacentral:rRNA from 1 species
GACGAACGCUGGCGGCGUGCUUAACACAUGCAAGUCGAACGGAAAGGCCUGCUUUCCCUUGUGGAUUGCGGGUACUCGAGUGGCGAACGGGUGAGUAACACGUGAGUGAUCUGCCCCCAACUUGGGUAUAAGCCUGGGAAACUGGGUCUAAUUCCCGAUAGGACUGCAGGGUGGUGCCUGUGGUGGAAAACGAUUUCUAGUGGUUGGGGAUGAGCUCGCGGCCUAUCAGCUUGUUGGUGGGGUAAUGGCCUACCAAGGCGGCGACGGGUAGCCGGCCUGAGAGGGUGGACGGUCACAUUGGGACUGAGAUACGGCCCAGACUCCUACGGGAGGCAGCAGUGGGGAAUAUUGCACAAUGGGCGGAAGCCUGAUGCAGCGACGCCGCGUGGGGGAUGACGGCCUUCGGGUUGUAAACUCCUUUCGACCGCGAGGAAGCCACCUGGUUGGAAGGGUGGUGACGGUAGUGGUAGAAGAAGCACCGGCUAACUACGUG